rnacentral:rRNA from 1 species
GACGUAGGGGGCCAGCGUUGUUCGGAAUUACUGGGUGUAAAGGGUUCGUAGGCGGUGUGGCAAGUCGGGAGUGAAAUUUCUGGGCUCAACUCAGAGACUGCUUCCGAAACUGCUGUGCUGGAGUGUGGGAGAGGCGCGUGGAAUUGCAGGUGUAGCGGUGAAAUGCGUAGAUAUCUGCAGGAACACCCGUGGCGAAAGCGGCGCGCUGGACCUUUUCUGACGCUGAGGCGCGAAAGCUAGGGGAGCAAACGGG